GUUGAGUUCAAAUUUUGAUGAAAAUCGUAAAAAUUACAGUAUUUCAAAACAUGUAUAACUGAGCUUCGCUCAGAAUCGUUUUUCGUUAGAAAUAGUCUAUCGUUGUUUACAAAUAUCAAUUGAAAUAACUUUUUGUACCUUACUGUUGUAGUUGAUAGGUUUGUAAUCCAAUUUCCCAUCCAUAACAGUGGCGCGCCAACAGUAUCACUUCUUUUUUUAAAUAUUAGCUAUUAUGGAUUUAUAUUUAAUACACAUAUUUAAUUAAAUAAUGAUGAUAAUAAUAAUGCUACGAAUACUAAUAUACAUAUAAAUAUCGUUUUCAACCAAAUCAACAACCGUAACUAUAUGCACAAUUAUUUUAGUAACUAUACGGACGGACGGACACAACAACGAUAUAAGGCGUUAUGCAUGGUGUAGCUAUGUGUUUGUUCUUAUAAACUAUAAGUAUAUAUCAUAAUGAGUAGCUAACUUUAAAGUACUAAAUAUUUACGAAAUAUAAAUUAAU